AUAGUAUCAGUUACUGGUGUGAGAGCACGACCAGUCACACGGGCACUGAGACACGGGCCCGACUCCUACGGGAGGCAGCAGUAAGGAAUAUUGGUCAAUGGACGCAAGUCUGAACCAGCCAUGCCGCGUGGAGGAUGAAGGUCCUCUGGAUUGUAAACUUCUUUUAUCUGGGAAGAAACCCAUGAAUUCUUUUGUGGUUGACGGUACCAGAUGAAUAAGCACCGGCUAACUCCGUGCCAGCAGCCGCGGUAAUACGGAGGGUGCAAGCGUUAUCCGGAUUUACUGGGUUUAAAGGGUGCGUAGGCGGAAUGGUAAGUCCGUGGUGAAAUCCCCGAGCUUAACUUGGGAACUGCCAUGGAUACUAUCAAUCUUGAAUAUCAUGGAGGUAAGCGGAAUAUGUCAUGUAGCGGUGAAAUGCUUAGAUAUGACAUAGAACACCAAUUGCGAAGGCAGCUUACUACGCGAUUAUUGACGCUGAGGCACGAAAGCGUGGGGAUCAAACAGGAUUAGAUACCCUGGUAGUCCACGCCCUAAACGAUGAUCACUCGACAUCCGCGAUACACUGUUGGUGUCUGAGCAAAAGCAUUAAGUGAUCCACCUGGGAAGUACGAUCGCAAGAUUGAAACUCAAAGGAAUUGACG
rnacentral:rRNA from 1 species